CUAUAUUGCUAAAAAUAUUGACUUUUUUAGACAUGGAAUAUUGAUAUUUUUUAGAUGUAACGUCAAUUAUUGUCAUCAAUAGUGUAUUUCUUUAGAAAACAUUUGUAUUUUAAAUUCUGUUUUAAAUCUAAGUAGCAAAUACCGAACCAUUUUAUGUAUUAUGUGGUUGCGCUAUGAAAGUGACAGUUAAAAGUUGGACAGGUGUAGCGACCUGGCGUUGGGUUGCAAACGACGAUAACUGCGGCAUCUGUCGCAUGCCCUUCGACAGCUGCUGCCCUGACUGUAAGCUGCCUGGUGACGACUGCCCGCUGGUCUGGGGCGCGUGUUCCCACUGCUUCCACAUUCAUUGCAUCGUGAAGUGGCUUCAUUCUCAACCACAACAGCAGUGCCCUAUGUGCAGACAGGACUGGAAGUUCAACAAUAAGUAAAGGAUAUUUCGAUUACGUAAGCAAUUCCGCGCGAUCAGCACCAUGUCCCUGCAAGGCAUGCCGCCGCUGCCCAAGAGCCUGAGCGGGUUCGCGGAGGGCGACCCUGAGCCCGUGGAGCCUCCCGCCACGCCCAGCGACAGCCCACCCACUGAUCUCGACUCACAACUAGUAUACCUGAAGAAAGAAAUGGCCAGUCUCCGUCAAUUGGACCUGUCGCUGUUAUCGGAACUAUGGACCCUGAGCGAGGCAAUGGCGUCGUGGAGGCGGCAGCUGGAGCGCGGCCCCCGCCUCCGCCCCGCGCCGCCGCCGCCGCCCCCGCCGCACUACCUCAGGACUUAGGCUGACGUGUGGAUCCACGUGGGGCUCUGUUUAGUUCACAUUCAUAACAGACUGAAACGCCGCGGUCUCCAGGACUGAUUAAGAUUGAUGAUUUGAGUGUAUAAGGGCUCUUGAUUGCAAGUUUUGGUCGGCUAUACCUACGGCGUAAAAUGUACAGUAUGGUUAUUUGCAAUUCAAGUGUUUUUAAUUGGUUACAUUGGACUGUAGACAUGCCGUAAUCAAAACCUUGAGUCAAGGGUACUUCGAACCCAUAAAUUGUCAUAUUGUAAAUAGCCUUAUAUGACGUGUAAAUGUAUAAGCUGGCAUAAACUUUGGUAGUGAUGUGACAUCAUGAGAUUUCCGCUUCUUGUGCCAUUCGGACACUUUAGAGAGCAAAUGCUAACCAAAGGUUAGAUGCCGCAUUAUUGCCUUUUAAUCUAUGUUAAAUGUGACCUGAGAAUCUAAUAACAUUGUAUUGAGUCAUACAUGUUCACUUAUUAUAAUGACAAAUGUGUAGGAUCCCACUUAAUUAUAAAUAUUUUUUAUCAAUGUAUUAAAAAGAAUUAGAUCUUUUUUUCCUUGAAAUUACGUGAUUAUAAAAAAAUUAGUAAGGCGAUUAUUGUUUUGACUUAAGUCGAUUAUUGAUUUGUGUCGAUUAUCGAUAAUUUCUUGAUUUUGUUGUCUGUUUUACUAUUAUUGUGAGGAAAUUUCAUACUAGCUGUAUCAAAAACUUGAAUUUAUUUUUAAGUAUUGAAUACGAAUUAAAAUUGUAAAUUUCCUUGUAGAAAAUAAUGUUAUGUUGGCUAUGGUUUGAGAGUUCACAUUUGUAAAAAUAAAUGUUGCUUAUGAAAAUA
rnacentral:misc_RNA from 1 species